rnacentral:rRNA from 1 species
UGGAUAAUGCCUUGAUGACCUGCCGGCAAGGAUAUCUAUAGCAGCUUAGAUUCGC